AUUGAACGCUGGCGGCAGGCCUAACACAUGCAAGUCGAGCGGAGCGGCGGACGGGUGAGUAAUGCCUAGGAAUCUGCCUGGUAGUGGGGGAUAACGUCCGGAACCGGGCGCUAAUACCGCAUACUAUCAGAUGAGCCUAGGUCGGAUUAGCUAGGUGGUGGGGUAAAGGCCUACAAAGGCGACGAUCCGUAACUGGUUUGAGAGGAUGAUCAGUCACACUGGAACGUAGACACGGUCCAAACUCCUACGGGAGGCAGCAGGGGGGAAUAGUGGACAAUGGGCGAAAGCCUGACCCAGCGAUGCCGCGUGUGUGAAGAAGGUCUUCGGAUUGUAAAGCACGUUAGGUUGGGAAGCGGUACCAACAGAAAAAGCACCGGCUAACUUCGUGCCAGCAGCCGCGGUAAUUC
rnacentral:rRNA from 1 species